CCCAAAAGAUCGAAUGGAAAGAUUCAUCGUCAAUAUGUUUAAUAUUUAUAAAUAUUAUGAUGUGAAUUUUUUUUUUAGCUUUAUUGUUGAUUGAAAAAUUUAUACAUAUAUUUAUUAAUUUAUUGUUUUACAUUGUCGGCGUGCACUUCUUUCCUAGUAGGACAUCGCGACCCGUUGGGUAUUGAUCUACGGCCAAAUUGGGUAGCCUUUAAUGUGUUAAAACAUUAAAGACCAAUUUGUGUUUUCCUGAUCAAUUGCCCGGCGGUAUUCGUAUGGUAUUGAGUCGCAUUUAUUAUAAUUUGCGUCCUCCACCCAUCACAAGCGAGGCCAGUUGGUAUUAAUAUAUUUAUAUAUUAAUAUCUUACUUAGUAGUGCGGACCUAGUGCCGUCAUUAAGUCUGGCCAGCUGUUGGUAUUUGUAUGGUGUUCUGGGACUGACUUAAAAUAUAAUAAUACCGGUCGGCGAUGCUACUGCUUUGGGUACUUUCAGGACCCGUCUUGAAACACGGACCAAGGAGUCUAACAUGUACGCAAGUCAUUGGGAUUUUUUUAAUUAAAAAAAUUAAACCUAAAGGCGUAAUGAAAGUAAAGAUCAUCUUUAUGAUGAUUUAGGGAGGAUGUUUUAUAUUACGAUAUAAAACCGCACUCCCGGGGCGUCUUAUUCUUAUUUUAUA
rnacentral:rRNA from 1 species